UGCCAGACUCCUACGGGAGGCAGCAGUGGGGAAUAUUGCACAAUGGGGGGAACCCUGAUGCAGCGACGCCGCGUGAGUGAAGAAGUAUUUCGGUAUGUAAAGCUCUAUCAGCAGGGAAGAAAAUGACGGUACCUGACUAAGAAGCCCCGGCUAACUACGUGCCAGCAGCCGCGGUAAUACGUAGGGGGCAAGCGUUAUCCGGAUUUACCGGGUGUAAAGGGAGCGUAGACGGUUAUGCAAGUCUGAAGUGAAAGCCCGCGGCUCAACCGCGGAAUGGCUUUGGAAACUUUUUUGCUGGAGUACCGGAGAGGUAAGCGGAAUUCCUAGUGUAGCGGUGAAAUGCGUAGAUAUUAAGAGGAACACCAGUGGCGAAGGCGGCCUACUGGACGGCAACUGACGCUGAGGCUCGAAAGCGUGGGGAGCAAACAGGAUUAGAUACCCCCGUA
rnacentral:rRNA from 1 species